AUGAACGCUAGCUACAGGCUUAACACAUGCAAGUCGAGGGGCAGCAUGGUCUUAGCUUGCUAAGGCCGAUGGCGACCGGCGCACGGGUGAGUAACACGUAUCCAACCUGCCGUCUACUCUUGGACAGCCUUCUGAAAGGAAGAUUAAUACAAGAUGGCAUCAUGAGUCCGCAUGUUCACAUGAUUAAAGGUAUUCCGGUAGACGAUGGGGAUGCGUUCCAUUAGAUAGUAGGCGGGGUAACGGCCCACCUAGUCUUCGAUGGAUAGGGGUUCUGAGAGGAAGGUCCACCACAUUGGAACUGAGACACGGUCCAAACUCCUACGGGAGGCAGCAGUGAGGAAUAUUGGUCAAUGGGCGAGAGCCUGAACCAGCCAAGUAGCGUGAAGGAUGACUGCCCUAUGGGUUGUAAACUUCUUUUAUAAAGGAAUAAAGUCGGGUAUGGAUACCCGUUUGCAUGUACUUUAUGAAUAAGGAUCGGCUAACUCCGUGCCAGCAGCCGCGGUAAUACGGAGGAUCCGAGCGUUAUCCGGAUUUAUUGGGUUUAAAGGGAGCGUAGAUGGAUGUUUAAGUCAGUUGUGAAAGUUUGCGGCUCAACCGUAAAAUUGCAGUUGAUACUGGAUAUCUUGAGUGCAGUUGAGGCAGGCGGAAUUCGUGGUGUAGCGGUGAAAUGCUUAGAUAUCACGAAGAACUCCGAUUGCGAAGGCAGCCUGCUAAGCUGCAACUGACAUUGAGGCUCGAAAGUGUGGGUAUCAAACAGGAUUAGAUACCCUGGUAGUCCACACGGUAAACGAUGAAUACUCGCUGUUUGCGAUAUACUGCAAGCGGCCAAGCGAAAGCGUUAAGUAUUCCACCUGGGGAGUACGCCGGCAACGGUGAAACUCAAAGGAAUUGACGGGGGCCCGCACAAGCGGAGGAACAUGUGGUUUAAUUCGAUGAUACGCGAGGAACCUUACCCGGGCUUAAAUUGCAGAUGAAUUACGGUGAAAGCCGUAAGCCGCAAGGCAUCUGUGAAGGUGCUGCAUGGUUGUCGUCAGCUCGUGCCGUGAGGUGUCGGCUUAAGUGCCAUAACGAGCGCAACCCUUGUUGUCAGUUACUAACAGGUUCCGCUGAGGACUCUGACAAGACUGCCAUCGUAAGAUGUGAGGAAGGUGGGGAUGACGUCAAAUCAGCACGGCCCUUACGUCCGGGGCUACACACGUGUUACAAUGGGGGGUACAGAGGGCCGCUACCACGCGAGUGGAUGCCAAUCCCCAAAACCUCUCUCAGUUCGGACUGGAGUCUGCAACCCGACUCCACGAAGCUGGAUUCGCUAGUAAUCGCGCAUCAGCCACGGCGCGGUGAAUACGUUCCCGGGCCUUGUACACACCGCCCGUCAAGCCAUGGGAGCCGGGGGUACCUGAAGUGCGUAACCGCGAGGAGCGCCCUAGGGUAAAACUGGUGACUGGGGCU
rnacentral:rRNA from 1 species